rnacentral:lncRNA from 1 species
ACCAACUAUAAUGGAAAAAAUAAAAAUAAUUAAAAAAGAAAAAAAUAAAAUGACAUAAGGCAUAUUUAAGAUUUGGAUUUUACAUUGUGUUUACGGGAAAGAUUGCUGAGCAGAGCCAGAGAACUAUGUAGGAAAGGGAGAAGGUACUAAUUUGAAUGUGUAUUUAGUAGGUGGCAGGAGCUAUGCCUUACAUUUUAUACACAGUAUUUCAUUUAAUUGCCCUAAUGCUCCUACACAUGAGAACAAAGAACCUCUGAGUUACCUGGCUGAGUCACACAACUCAUAAAUGAAAGCAUAAGGACUCAAACUAGCCCAGAUCAGCUUAACAAAAAACAUUUUGAGCAAGGACAAUAUACAAAGAACUAGGCCUGGCCUGAUAGAAGUAGGGUAAGAUUUUUUAAAAUGAAGGCACAAUGCCUGUCUUCAAAAUACUUACUUCUAAAGGGAGAGUUAAAAGAGAAAUGAAAAAAAAAAAAAGUCAGGAGAAUUCAAAGUUGACAAACAUUAAAUUUUGUUGGGCAGUCUUAGGAAUGACUUUGUGGCUUACCUAGCUAUUCAAUGUGAGUCUUAAAGGAUAGCUAAGGUUUUUAAAAGAAGUGUAUUAUAAAUGGACUUGUAGCUCAGGGGGUUAAGAAUACAACCUGGUGUCUGUGAGAAUAUGGAUUUGAUCCCUAGCCUCGCUCAGUGAGUUAAGGAUUUGGUGUUGCCACGAGCUACAGUGUAGAUCCCAGAUGUAGCUUGAAUAUGGUGUUGCUGUGGCUGUGAUGUAGGCCUGCAGCUGUAGCUCUGAUUUGACCCCUAGCCUGGGAACCUCCCUAUGCCACAGGAGCAGCCAUAAAAAGAAAAAAAAAAAAGUAGACAGCAAUGGAAAACAAGAAUACGUUUUGUUUAGAAGAAACAGAGUGAAAAGAAAAGAGGAGCAAGUCACGCUGUGUUUUAAGAAGGCCCAUGUGUUCUCAGAAAAGCUGAGAAGGCAGCACAUCUGUAUUAGCCAGAGGAGUUUCAAUAACAGGUCUCAAAAAACUCAAACCAUUUCAAGCAGAAAAAGAAAUUAAUACAACAUCACUGCCUCAUAAAGCCCCCUCAAAAACCUGGCAGUCAUGAAAAUUUGAACUCAGUUUUGAACACUGCCCAGCCUACUUCUACUUCCCUCCCGACUUCUCUUUGAGAGUUGGCUUCAUUCUUCUUUCUUAUUGCUGACAGUUUAUUUUGGUCUUUGAUCCAUGUGCCCACCUCCUGCAAAAUUAUUUAAGAAGUUGCUAAAAAGAGAUGGCUUAUAAGCACUUGGAGAGAAGGGUUGACAGGGAGACAAAAAUGGGUUCUCAGAGAAAAGUCAUGUCUAAUUCAUAACUCUUCAUUUUUUAACAGGGUUAUUAAUGGUAAUAUUAGGGAACAUAGAGAACUGAAGUUUUACAUGAUAUGCAAAUAUGCCAUCUUAGUUUGCUAUCUAGGACGUUUCAUGAUCUGGCCUCUGAACUGCUUCAACAGUCUCCCUCGCUCCUCACCUUGCUCCCCCUGCUAGACUGUAAGUUAAAUGAAAAGCAGAGAAUAUGUCAUUUUCACCAUCAUACUUCCAGCAUCUAGCAAAGAUCCUGGCCCAUAGCAGGUACUUGAUUAAUGUAUAUUUAAUCAACAAAUGAAUAAAUAACAUUUUGUAGAUAAAAACUAUGGUAUGUUGGCUAGAUGAGAAUGAGAUUUUGUAAGUAACUUUCUUAAAAGUAUGCAUAGUUUUGUGUAGUAAAAUCAAGUAGUUGAGGGCUAUAAGGUCUGAACCUAGCCAUAUGUUAUUAUUCAACAUUCCCAUCAAUAAUUCAAAUGAAGAAAAAGGAGGAAUAUGUAUUAUACCUCCAACAAAGCUCAAGGACAAAUGUGGAAUGACAGUAACAGAUAUCAAAAAGAUCUUGACAGGCUAAAGGGAUGAAAAGCAAUCAAGACAAAAUUUAACAAAAAUAAAUAUGCAUCUCUGCAUUAAGGUUCAAAAUUAGCAAUGACAAUGGAGACAUGACUUGACAAUAUUUCAAAAGGUGAGCCUGAGACUAAAAUUGUAUUUCAGUUAACUGCCUUCAUUUUGCAGUCUUGUGCAUUUUAUUUUUAUAUGUAAAAGUAUUCCAAGAAAGGAUUCAACACAAGGUUGCCAGUGCAAUUUCAUGGCACAAAAUUCAUAACAAUCUCUGACCUACAGCUUCUACUUUUACAAGAAACAGAUUUAUUGAGCUGUAAAUCAUACAUUAUAAAAUUUUAAAAUGUAAAAUCCAGUGGGUUUUAGUAUAUUAGCUGAGUUAUUCAACUGUCACCACAAUAACAUUUUAGAAUAUUUCAUUGCUCCUAAAAUAAACCCCAUACUCAUUAGCAGUCAUUCCCAUUCUACACUCCCCUCAUUGCUUGGCAAUCACUAAUUUGCUUUUUGCCAUCAUAGAUUUGCUUGUUUUGGACAUUUCACAUAAAUGGAAUCAUACAAUAUGUGACCUUUUCUGUGACUUUUUAGCAUAGUGUUUUCAAGGUUCAUCCAGAUUGUAGAAUAUAUCAGUACUUCAUUCCUCUUUCUGGCUAAAAAAUAUUCUAUUGCAUGAGUACACUGUAUUUGUUAAUUUGUCAGUUGAUGAACAUUUGGAUUGUCUCCAUUUUUUGAUCAUUCUGAAUAAUACUGUUAUGUAUGAACAUUCAUGUAGAAAUUUUUGUGUGGAUAUACGUUUUCAUGUCUCCCGGACAAAUGUCUAGGAGCACAAUUGCUGGCUCAUAGGGUAACUCUUAUGUUUAGGUUUCCUGGGAAUAUGUUUCCAAAGUCAUUGUACCAUUUUAUAAUCACGAUAGCAAUGCGUAAGGGUUCCAAUUUCUCCAAUUCCUCUACAACACUUUAUUAUUAUUAUUAUUUUAGCUCUCCUAGUGUGUGUGAUGUGGUAUUUCAUAGUUUUGAUUUGCACUUCCCUGUUGACUAAAGAUAUUGAGCAUAUUUUAUAUGCUUAUUGAUCUACUGUAUGUCCUAUUCAAACCCUUUGUCCAUCUUUUAAUUGGGUUACUUAUCUAUUUAUGAUUGAGUUGCAAGUGCUUUUUUCAUCAUCUUGACACAGUCUGUUAUCACUAUAUGAUUAAAAAAUUUUUUCCCUUAUCUGUGAGGUUGUCUUUUCUUUCUCACUGACUCUUUGACUGUAAAUUCAGUUUGACCCUUUUCACAACAUGGUCAACAAAAAUGAACAUAAUGUUAAACCGUAUUAAUAAAACUAUGCAACCCAGAUAAAAAUAUAUCUACUCUCUGUUAGUCUGGCCACUCGGGAAUGUUGAAAUCAGUUCAGGGUACCACAGUGAAGAAGGCAUACAAAAAUAGAUUAAAUUAUUCCUGGGGUGAGCAAGGGUCUGAAAACCACUUCAUAUUGCUUAUAAGAAACAGAACAGGGAGUAGAGUAUAUUUAGCACAGAAUAAGUGUUCUCCAGUUACUGAAGGGUACUCAUGUAAUUCUCUAGAAACUGAAAGUAAAAUAAAUCGAUGCCAAAUAAAAGACCCCUUUGAGGGGGUCUAUAUAAUGGAGGAAUUACAACAGUCACACCAUGCUAAAUGCUUAUUAAAUAUUAAAUAAAUAUUAGCUAAAUAGAUCAAUGAAUAAAUAAAUUGAACCUAUACAAAGGCAGAACGAGCUGUUUGUUUCAAUAAGGAGUAGGCUCCCACCAAUAAAAUGUUCAAGAAAGUAAAAAAUUAUCCACUGCUCCUGUGGUACACGUUUCCUUCAUUGCUAAAAAAGAUUGGACAAGAUAAUCUCUGAAGUCUCUUCCAAAUCUAAGACUCACUUUAAAAACCCAGAUCAGGAAGUUAUUGAUGGAGAUUCAAUUUUUAAAUCUAUUUUGAAUUAGGAAUAUACUCACAAGAAAAAUUUAAUGUACAAAAGAGAAUACACUGAAACUUGGAUCUUUCUCCCAUUCCUGUAUCCCGUCACUCAGUGUCCUUCCUUGGAGGUAAACCCUGUUAUUGUUUCUUAUCCAGAAAUAUUCUGUUUGUGAAGGUAUACAUGAAAAAAAUAUUUUUACAUAAAUGGUAGCUUGGUACACAUGUUUUGCAUCUUGUAUUUUUCACUUUAAAAUCUACUUUGCAUGGAGUUCCCCUCGUGGCUCAGUGUUAAGGAACCUGACUAGCACCCAUGAGGAUACUGGUUCAAUCCCUGGCCUCGCUCAGUGGGUUAAGGAUCUGGCAUUGCCAUCAGCUGUGGUGUAGGUUGCAGAUACCACUUGGAUCUGGCAUUGCUGUGGCUGUGGUGUAGGCCAGCGGCUACAGCUCCGAUUCAACCCCUAGCCUGGGAACCUCCAUAUGCCAUGGGUA